UACGGAGGGUGCGAGCGUUGUCCGGAAUCAUUGGGCGUAAAGGGCGCGUAGGUGGCCCGGUCAGUUCGUGGUGAAAGCGCGGGGCUCAACUCCGCGUCGGCCAUGAAUACUGCUGGGCUUGAGCACUGUAGAGGCAGGCGGAAUUCCGGGUGUAGCGGUGGAAUGCGUAGAGAUCCGGAAGAACACCGGUGGCGAAGGCGGCCUGCUGGGCAGUGGCUGACACUGAGGCGCGACAGCGUGGGGAGCAACGG
rnacentral:rRNA from 1 species